rnacentral:lncRNA from 1 species
GAACCCUGAUGCAGUGAACGCAGGCGCAGGCUCUGGAGUGAGAAAUUUGGGCAGGAAAGCAAGAUGAGCAGUUCAUUGGUUUUGAUGCCGGAAAUUCUUUGGACAUACAAAGAUCUCACGAUGGAAAAUACUCUCUUCAGCAAUUGCAGUGCUCCUAAUCCCCAGCAUGGCAUCUUCCUUGCUAUUUAUCUAGGGGCCAGCGAAAGACACGCGCUCGACUUAGCAAGAUAGGGGCUAGACAAACCACGGUGAGGAAAACGGCACCUACAAGUCUUCCCAGACAGCUGUCUGCAGUUGAAAUUGAACGGCUUGCAGUAAACUUCUUGGAGGAGAAUUGGCAUUGCAAGGGUGUUACUGGAGACCUCGGCAAGAAAGUGAAUGCAAAGACAGAUGACCCAGGAACCCGUGAUGGAUAAGGCUCUUGACAGCCAGGACGUGGAAUUACAGGGGGUCUCUUUGAGAGACAAAAUAAAAAAAAUAGCCCAGUAAUCUUCCUUCCACCCUUUUCUCCCAGAUCUAAUUACAGAUGUCUUGACAUUCCUUCUGCAUAGAAUUUCCUUAAAAGAUUUGCCAAGAAGAAACAUUUGGAAACUGUGUUUUAGGUAUAAUCCGUCUGGGAGUCACUCUUGCUCGCUUUGUCGUUAGAUGACAAAACGCUUAAUUACAGCGAGCACAAUGUAUACCACAUUUGGAAAACUGGAUUCUUGACCUAAAUAAUGUACCCCAUACUGACAAUGGCCUUUUGGCAAAACUUGUGUCUCUGAUCUCACAUUAAUUACUACACAAAUAUACUUAUUGUGGGCACCGAGUUUAUGGGAUGGAGUCCUCUUGACACAUGUUCACCAUAAAAACACAUUUUUUUCCCUUCCCCUGACCCUAAGGAAAAGAAAAAAAAAAAGAUUAACAUUUUUCAAGAUGCUGUUUUAGUGACAUGAAAACUGUCUGUUGAGUGUUCACUCGGCUUUUGUUCUUUUUCUUUUCUCCUUUUAUUAAAAAG